UACAGAGGGGGCAAGCGUUGUUCGGAAUUACUGGGCGUAAAGGGCGCGUAGGCGGCCUGUUAAGUCGAACGUGAAAUCCCCGGGCUCAACCCGGGAACUGCGUCCGAUACUGGCAGGCUUGAAUCCGGGAGAGGGAUGCGGAAUUCCAGGUGUAGCGGUGAAUGCGUAGAUAUCUGGAGGAACACCGGUGGCGAAGGCGGCGUCACUGGCC
rnacentral:rRNA from 1 species